UUGUUUCUCAAACUCAUGCACCAGUUACUUGCACCAGAAAUGCAAGCAGUAAUUACACCUGGAUCUCCAGUGUCCAAACAGUUACCUUCCUGUCUCUUUUUGCCUACCAGACUCUAGAUGAAAGCCAGCAGCAAUAGACAAGGAUGUGUGCGGUGGUGUGGCAGAAAGGAGGGAGAGAAAACAGGCUGAAGUGUUUAAUGUGAAAAAUGGUUAUAGUUCAGCCCAGGUAGCGGGAGUUUGAGCUUGGUGUGAUGCCUUACUGUGCGUGUGAAGCGCUGUCAGGCAGAUGAUGAGACGUGUGUCAUAGGACCACUAAAUUCACCUGCUACCUGCCAAGCAGACGUUUGCUCUGGGAAGGAAGCAAAAAUCAGGAGAGUAUUUUUAGCUCUGAAGUACUUUUCUUGAAUGACAUUUAGUCCUCACCAGCCUUUGAUGAGCACAGAAAUAAUCCCUCAAGGGAGCAACUGAAGGUGCCUGGAUCGGCUGCCGGCAGCUCCCACUGUGGCUGUGGGAGCACCAGGGCAGCUCACGGUGCAACAGUCUCCCACAGAUACCAACUAACACAGGUGCUGGGUGAGCAUGAAAUGCAGGUGGGGUGUUAGGGAGCUGGGGUACAGGAAUGUGUCUGGGCAUGAAUGAAAAUUACUCUUGAGCCUGUUUCCUCAUAGAGACCCAGUCCUACAUUGCACGGCAUGGAGCUGAGAACCACAAGCCCAUUGCUCGCCAGGAGUCAGCCCUGUUCCCAUGCUCAGGUGGGAGAACCCAUCUUGCAAACUGGUGAAUUACGAGCCCAGUGCUGCUAGGUGAUGGUUCCAGAAAUAGAAAGGUACAGUGAUAGCAGACAACGCUCCCUGAUAGCUGAAAUUAAAAGAAUUAAAUUGUACAAAAGUGUGCUUUAAUUGCUAACUCUCUCCUGUCUGCUUAAAUCACUAGAAAUAAAGGUCUCCUCUUUAGUGAUGAGCAAUUCCAGGCAGAACAGACAUGAUGGGGGAAACAUGUUUGGAAUAAAUACUGAUGUGAAUGACA